GAGGUGAACGCCACUGACCACACUGGCCGCACUGCGCUCAUGACGGCGGCUGAGAACGGGCAGACUGCUGCUGUGGAAUUUCUGCUGUAUCGAGGGAAGGCAGACCUUACUGUGUUGGAUGAGAACAAGAACACGGCCCUCCACUUGGCUUGUAGCAAGGGCCAUGAGAAAUGUGCCCUCAUGAUCCUGGCAGAAACCCAAGACCUUGGCCUUAUCAAUGCUACCAACAGUGCGCUGCAGAUGCCACUCCACAUUGCUGCCCGGAAUGGUCUAGCUUCUGUGGUACAGGCCCUGCUGAGUCGUGGGGCCACAGUGCUGGCUGUGGAUGAAGAAGGUCACACCCCAGCACUGGCCUGUGCCCCCAACAAAGAUGUGGCAGACUGCCUGGCCUUGAUCCUUUCCACCAUGAAGCCUUUCCCACCCAAGGACGCCGUCAGUCCUUUCAGCUUCAGCCUGCUCAAGAACUGCAGCAUUGCAGCCGCCAAGACGAUUAAUGACCCUGCACCCUCCAGGCCCCUACUCACAUCCUCCCCCAACCGGCUUCAGGUCCUCCCACCACACUCUGGUUUUCUAUGCUGUUUUGGUGCAAGUACAACUGUCGUAGUCAUGGCUUUGGGAUGGGUUCUGUUUAUUAAAAUCCUAUUGCUCCUA
rnacentral:sRNA from 1 species